AAAGGCAGUGCCAAGCAGAAGGUUUUUCUGACAGCUGGUCGGGAGCUCUCACUCCCUGCAGCCAGGCACGGCGGCUCUCGUGUGCACUAAAAGCAAGCAGCCCCAGAAACACCUGGAGCCAAACCGAGGCCACAUCAGAAGACAACAGUAUUCGGCUCAGUCCUCGCUUUCGAAAGGAGCUCGCGGAGUGAUUCUGGAGAACAGAAAAGGAGAAGCCUCAGGAAGGAGCUCUGUGUCCCAACAGCUUUGCUGACGGCUAUCAGUGUAUCCUGAUGAAAUGCCACCUCCACAUCUAAUUGCUGGAUGCAACUUCUUGUUGCUAAGCAAGAAGAGAAGUUUUUUAUGUUGUCCAUUGUCUGCCAGUGAAUGAAUGCCUGCUUUAACACAAACAUGAAACAACCACAUGUAAGUAAGGAACACUGUCAUGCCACAGAAGUACCAGGGCUCUCUCUGGGCUGAGGGAGCAGUACCAUCAUUGCAGGGUGUGAGAGAAGGGGCUCUGCAGUUCUGCUAGGAAUGGAGCAGUUUCAAUGCUCGUUCAAUCACCUUUCAGUGUCUGUAGUGCUACGGAAUCUUCUCACUGACGUUUUGUUCAGCUUGUGAUGCUGGCAAACUAAACCCGCAGAUGUCCUGGAACAUCCUCAAUCACAGUCAGAAAAUCAACCUGAACUCCAGCUGAGACCCAAACCAAGAAGGUGGCAAUCUAUGGACUGCUAAAAGCGAGCUUGUGAGCUUGCACACACUGCAUUGCUUUCUUUGUCAACAAGCAAACUAUUGUGUAAUUCUUUGUCUGGGCUGUGGUUAUUCCACUCUUGCCCUUUUCCUUUCAAAAUGGUGUCUGUUUGGUUUGAAAGACUCUCUUAGAGCAAAAAAGACACAGAAAAGGCAGGCUUCCUACAUCUAGAGCCAGCAUAAAUACAAAAAUGACAAGAGGGGAGAGUACGAAAUAAACUCACUGAUGAAUCCCAGACAGUUACAGACAAACUUGUACCAAGUUUUCCCUUUGCCUGGCUGGCAAAGUAGCCUGCGAUACAGCGCUUUGUACCCCGGCUGUCUUGAGCUCCACACAGGAAGCGGGGUAUACUGCAGAGGCAGUCUUCUUGAAGCACGGGGUCUUUUAAUCUUUAAACUUGCAUACCGCAAUGAACAUGCAGUAAAGUAUUAUUAUUAUC
rnacentral:lncRNA from 7 species